rnacentral:rRNA from 1 species
UUCUGCCUAAAUACCCUAAAAGCUGACCAGAUCCCUUUUGGUCUUAGAAGCUAAGCAGGGUCAACUCUGGUUAGUUCUUGGAUGGGAUGCCACCAAUGAACACCAGAUUUUGUAGGCU